CCUUUGGAUGAAAAGCAAAUGAUUUAUCCGGAUUUUGUUCAUCCGAAACUAAAUCACUAGUAUCAACAUCCGGUGUAAUUUUUGCUUGUAUUUUGGAGAAACUCGAUUGAUUUCUAGCAAACUUGGUUUACCACUACUGUACAUCGUCGCUUAUUAUUAUUUGGUUUAUUGCGAGUGUCAUGGAAAGCUGGAACUUUUCAGUACACAACAUGCAAACUGAGAAUGAACUGUGUGUGCCGGCUUUGUGAACAAAAACGCAAGGCGGCUAUGAUACACUGUGUUGUGUGUGGAUAAGAAAUGCAGAGUGGUACCACCAAUUACCUAAGCCACCAUUCCCCUAACAGACAAAAGGCUCAUGGGGACAGUUCCUGCAGUUUACAGCAAAUUGUAGCCCUACAAACUUCAGGUAAGUGAUAAAUCUGGGCUUCAAGAUAUCUCUGUACUCACUUUAAGUUUAUACUUCAUUUGAACAAAACUUACAAUUUCAGCAUCAAAAUCCAGGUU